GAUGAACGCUAGCGGCAGGCUUAACACAUGCAAGUCGAGGGGUAUUGGUUUUCGGACCAAGAGACCGGCGCACGGGUGCGUAACGCGUAUGCAAUCUACCUUUUGCAGAGGGAUAGCCCCAGAGAAAUUUGGAUUAAUACCUCAUAGUAUAGUACUUUGGCAUCAAGGAACUAUUAAAGUCACAACGGCAAAGAUGAGCAUGCGUCCCAUUAGCUAGUUGGUAAGGUAACGGCUUACCAAGGCUACGAUGGGUAGGGGUCCUGAGAGGGAGAUCCCCCACACUGGUACUGAGACACGGACCAGACUCCUACGGGAGGCAGCAGCGAGGAAUAUUGGACAAUGGGCGCAAGCCUGAUCCAGCCAUGCCGCGUGCAGGAUGACGGUCCUAUGGAUUGUAAACUGCUUUUUAUACAGGAAGAAACACUCCGACGUGUCGGAGCUUGACGGUACUGUAAGAAUAAGGAUCGGCUAACUCCGUGCCAGCAGCCGACGG
rnacentral:rRNA from 1 species